AGAUCUCAUAAGGCUAACGAAACCAGGAAUCCGCUAUUUUAUUACCUCAAAGAUUGGUCAUUGUGAGGCUGGGCUUAAGCUUCGAGUUGUGGUGCGACCACUAUCCAAAAGUGUUCCGAAGAAGAUGCAGUUUUCACCUUUCGACCGUCUCAUCAAGUGGCUACACGAUUCCUUCACACCCCACCCCCAUCACUAAGAUUUCGUUUCUUUUUUUGUUUUGUUUUGUUUGAGCUUAGCUUCGUAGUAUUUUUUUUUCUCACUCGUUUUUGUUCUUUAUUUUAUUUUCCAAAUAGUGUGGGUUUCUACUUAUUCCUAUCGUUGUGGAGAGACUUAAUUCAAUAAAAAUAAUUUUCCUUAACCCUAGCUGUAUACACAUAAUAGACUCAAUCACUCCACCUCCAUGGAAAAUAAAGAAAUUGAACAAAGACGAGAGAAAACAAAAACAAUACGGAAAUAUCCUAGAAUAGCACUAAAAAGUUUAUGUCACAAAUAUAGAUUCUAAUGAACAAAAUGACCAAAAUAUUUUAUUAAAGAGAUAAAUAUACGUUUAUAUUCUAGGGUUAACUAAUCCAAAUUUGAAGGCUUAGAGUUAAGGGGUAGAAAUUUGGGAUUGAGAUUUAAAAUUUUAUAAAAUAAAAAAAAAAUUUAAAAAUAGUUUCAAAAAAUAUUUUCGAAUAACAAAAAACAAAUAAAAAAAUUUAAAAACAUUUUCGAAAACAAUUUUAUAAAUAAGUUCGAAUUUAAAAACAUAUAAUCUAAAACAAUAAAAAUUAUUUUUUUACUUUUUUUAAAUUUUUAAUUUUUUUAAAUAUCUAGGGUAUUAAGGUCAUUUUACCUAUUAAAUGAAAUAUUUGAUCAUUUUUCUCCUUGUGGUCUAUUUUUGUGAUCAAAACUUGAAAAUUGUCUAUUUAGGAGAAUUAUCCAAAACAAUAUCCUAAUGAAUUAGUCAAAGAAUUAAAAUAAAAGUAUAUCAGGCGUUUCAUAUAAUAUGGCACAUUUUUAAAAGUCUAAUUAUAUGAAACAAAGAAAUAACCAACACACAUUAACACGGAGUUCUGAUUGGGUUUUACUCUUUUUUUGCUAAAUUAUAAACUCUUUUUUUUUUCCUUUACACCUCUAGAUCAUUCAUAAGUAUAUUGGAUUAACCGAGUAAACAAAUGUUAGCAAUCAGAUUUUGACUUACCAAAUUUGUAAGUCUUUUUAAAACCAAAGAUAAUGAUUUUAUUUUACAAAUGUUCCUAUAUGAAUUGGUACCAUUUACUUUUUUUUCUUCUAAGAUUAGUAGACUGCAUAUGAAAUCUACAUUUAAUUUAUUUUUAGUCAGUCUUUUACAUUUUAGCAAACACAAAAGUAACCUAUUCAACGAAGUCAAAGUUUUGGUCAAAUGAAAAUCUUGCAUUUUAUAGACUUCUCGGGAAAUUUACAUAAUGUAGACUUCCGAUGAAGUCUACUAUAAAAGUCAAAAUUUUGGUCAAAUAAAAAAUUAACCUAUUUUACGUAGACUUCUUAGUAAGUUUACCCUUUUUUUUUGUUUUCAAAUAUAAAGACGUAGACUUCUAGGAAAGUCUGUGUUACAAAAGAAAAAGUUUGGUCUAUUGGAAAACUAAUGUGUGUGUGACAAGUAGACCACAUCGUAAGUCUAUACAUAUGCGUAGAGAUACAAACAGUCUACUAUUGUGACACAUAUCUGAAAAAUUACGAAAACCAUGUAAAAACUUUUUUCCGGUGUAAAGCUUGUUUUCAAUCUUUUCGACCAUCCAAACUCCAAAUAUGAACAAAAAGAAGCACAUUUGACGGUUCUUUAUUAAAAAAACUCGAAAAAUAUAAAGUUUGUGUUUAUGAAAAUGAAAGUUAUAAUAGUUUUUAGAUGAAUACUAUUACACAAUUAUGAUUCUUAUCAAUGCAUUUUAAAUCUAAUUCUUUAACUAGCUAAAUUAACUAAACAAUGAAACAAUUAAUAACAAUGUAAAAGAACAAUUAUAAACGUAUGGUAAUGACAUUGAGUUUUCUGAAAACAAUAAGAGGAAUUCCUUUGAAAUCGGAGACUGUUCAUAUGAAGUAUACAACAUAGUAGACUUUCGUUUCAAUCUACUUAUGUAGACUGUUAUAGACGUCUAAUCUUUGGGUUAGUUUUUGCAAUGACAAAAUUCGCGAAUUGUUUUUUGGAAUGACGUCUAAUCUUUGGGUUAUUUGAAAAAAAUUGUGAUUUAUACAAGUAGACUUUAUAGGUAGUCUACUUCAUAGACAGUCUUCAUUUUAAAAACGGUUAGUUUUGCAAUUUCUAGAAUUCACCCAGUAUUUGACUCUCAAUAGUAGAUUUCAUAUGCAGUCUACAUUUAAAAAUUUAAAAAAAGUUCAGUUUUGCAAUUGACCAAAUUUGACUUUCGACGAGUAUAUUUCAAUGGAAGUCUAUCAAGUUUACUUUCCAAUUUGACGGCUUAUUUUUGUGUUUGACUAAAAUAAAAUAAUAGACUUCAUAUACAAUAUACAGUUUUUCCUAAGAAUAGUAGAAACAUUUAUUAAUUUUUGGUCAAAUUUUUAACAUUUUAAUCAAAAACAAAACAUGUUUUUGUAGAGUAGACUUCAUAAGAAGUCUAAUAAAAGAGUCAAAGUUUUCGUUAAAUGCAAGAUUGACCUCUUGCAGAUUUCCACUACAGCCUGCUUGAUGCAGACUUUCGUUGAAGUCAACUAUUAAAAGUCAAAAGUUCGGUCAAAUGCAAAUCUAACCUUUUAGUUUUUCGUAAGUCUGCCAAAAACACAUUUUGUUCUCAAAGAUAAAGACGUAAAUUUCUAGUGAAGCUUGCGUCACAAACAAUAUAAAUUUUGUCAAUUGCAAAACUAAUAUAUUCGUUGAAAAUUAGAUCGCAUAAUAAGUCUACACAUAUACGUAGACAUACAAAAUAGUCUACUAUCGUGAGAUCUGAAUAUUGACGAAAACUGUUUAAAUAGUUACCCUUUUCGGUGUAAGCUCGUUUCCAACCUUUUCCACCGUCCAAACUCCAAAUUUGAGCAAAAGAAGUUGUUUUCACCAUUCUUUACUGAAGAAUCCCGAAAUAUGAAAUUUGUGUCUAUGAAAAAGAAAGUUAUGAGAGUUUUUGGAUGAAAGCGGAGAGGAUAUGAGAGGAAAUAAAGAUUUGUUGGUGUAGAAUGAGAAAAAAGUAGAUAGAAAAUGAAUGCUUGAACUUUAAGACCUCAAACAUGGUUGUUCAUGGUGGUUGAAAAAAUUGAUAAGAGUGUCAUUGUUGUAAAUAAGAAGAAAUGUUUAGAGUUUUUCGGGUUUUUUUCGAAAAUAAAAGGAAUUAAAUUAUAAUAGAAUUUUUGUAAAUAUUGAGAAAAGUCAAGGAGGGCAUGGGAAUGUUGUGGUAAAAUAUUGUUGACAUAAAAAUGGGGUUAGUUUUGUAUUUGACUUCAAUUUUGGGUCAUUUUUGUAAAAUCAUCUUAUUUUUAAAUCUAAUCAUAUAACUUUUAAUCAUAAAUUGAAUAAAAUAUCCUUAUAUAUAUAUAUAUAUAUAUAUAUAUAUAUAUAUAUGAAUGAAUGUACGCGUCCAACACGUACCCGCUUCCUAAUUUUUUUUAAAAAAAUUGCUUUUGAGCUUCCAUACAUUCUGAUUUCGCGUAACCGCUCGAUUCCGCGUACCCGCUCGAUUCCGCGUACCCGCUUUCGAUUCCAUGUAAUUCUUGAAAACACCCUUGAAAACACGGCCAAGACUCUAAAGCAUGUAUUGCAUAACUUACAACUAUCUAAGAAUUAGCUAACCUAAUAAACCAAAACUUUGAAUAAUUACAAAGUAUAUAUAUAUAGCCAGAGUAAUGAAAUUUUGCAAUAUCUUCGCCGUACUCACUUGAAUAUAAGCAUGCAUUCAAUUGGUGAACCAAUCAUGAGAAUGGAACAAAGUUUAGUAAAUAUAGUACAAUGUUGACACCGAAAUUGGAUCGCUAAUGACUAUCAUUCAUUGCUUUCCCAUUUACUGCGAUCAUCAUAAUCUUCAGCUAUAUAAAAGUAUGUUUUGCCCCAUGAAGUUCAUCCGUUCUUUCUUCUCAUUCAUAAGCUUUUUAAGAAAUAUACCUUUGAAAAUGGCUAACUCCUCUGUCCUCCUUGCCGAUUGAAGGCUGGCGGUUGUCCCUCCACCGUCGAUGUCCGCCUCCUUAGUUUUUGGGAAAUCAGGAAUGUGAAUUGCGGCGGCGAGCUGAUGGGGUUGACAUGCUCCUCCUUGAAGCUCAGAUAAAUCCACCAUCAAAAUCAUUAUGUAUUUGGGAGAUGAUAAUUGUUUUGUUUGUUGAUUCUGUUUCAUGUAUUGAUUAUUAUACUUUUAAACCUAACUUUUCUUUUAAUGGAGAUCCAUUUGUUCAUGUCUUCGUUAUAAAAAAAAACAAAUUCCAUAAGCUUCUGUUAUCUUAAAAUAAUUGGACAAUGAUUAUUGUUUUGUCUGUUGAUUCUGUUUCGCUUUAUUUGUAAUUUGUAAAUUCAUUAUCAAGCUUUUAAUCCAAACAUUCAGUUUAAGUGGGAUCCUUUGUAUAUUUCUUGAUUAUCAGAAAAUCUUCCCCGAAGUUUAUUAAUAUAGUUGAUGAUGAAAUUGGCAAUCUUUAUAUGUCUUAAAACAUUAUUUUGAGGAGUUAGAGGAAGAGUCCCCAAAGGACAACUCCAUCGUAGUGGUAUGUUACUUCUGCCACACCUCUUAUACUAUAACAUUUCAAGAAAUGUUUUUUAUAAUGCUGAAAUUGAUUUAUCUUGAUGGCAGUAUGUGUUACUUGACGAGCUUCGCCGUAACCAACGAAGUUGAAAACACUGACUCUGACCAGACGUUAGGGUGACGACCAUUCGCAUUGACAAGAAGGCUUUCACCGUCAAAUAAACACCAGUCAUUGACUUACCGAUAGAUAUUGAAGCUGAGAUGAGAAGAUGAAUGCUUGAACUUAGGCAAACCAUGGACAUGUACAGCUCAGCGUCGAAAGAAGCACUUAAUACAAAAGAGCGGUUAGAAAUAUAGGUGUCAAGCAGGGAUAGUUGAUGAUGAGCAAGCUGCUCCGUCUAAAACUUUAUGACUCCCAUGUUUCUCUUGAAAAAUUAGCAUAAGCUGUGGAGAAUGUAAGAAGCUUGAAUAUUUGAGGAAGCUAGAAGUGCUGAAGCGACAGUCCUGGCUAUAUUCCAAAGAUGGAGAAGGCCAAGUCUAGAGCUACAAUGGAAGCAAGUGAGAAAGCGCAGAUGAUGGUGGAACUAGAAGGAAGCAAGCUGAAAUGAAAAAAGAAGAAGGAAAUCGCAAAAGAAAUACGGUUGUUUAAUUCUUUCGUACAUAACGAUGUCUGGUACAAAAGAUAAACUUGAUCACAACCCUACUGCCAUUAGUCUUGAAACCAGAUGCUGCUCAAGACAUCCUCACAUGGUUCUUCGCUUUCGUAUGUGUCCUGCAUAUGGUUAUUUGGUGUAUGAGUUCAUAGAAAAUGGAAAAUGGGAGCUUAGAGGAAAGGCUUUCAAAAUAAAUUACUUUACCUGAAAUACACGAUACAAUUACAAAUCAUUAAAAUAAUAUCAGAUAAAACUCACAUAACGUAAAAGAUUUUCCAUAACAUAUCUUCUCGACAAAUGACACCUGCUAACCUAAUAAAAUAAUCAGAACGUUGACACAUUUGAAAAGAAAUUCUUCCAAGCACACCUCUAAUUUAGUAUAUAAACAAUUAGAUCUAAUGACAAAUACUAAAAAUAAUGUUAUACUAUUAAUAAAGCUGAAUCCUUUAUUUUCCUGAGGAAAUUUCAUCAAGAGAAGUUGUCUAAAAAUUUAACACUAUAAUUUGUAGAAGUUUAUUAAGUAUUCCACAUUAAACCAAAUUUAUAGAUAAAAUAUAUAAUUAUCCAAAAAAAAUUGAUCAAUUUUUAAAAAAUCUAACAGAACAUUUGAGAUCAAUCUAAAAUAAUAUUUUGGCACAUAAUUAAUCCGAGAUUUUUGUACAAAAAUCUUAUUUUACUUAUUAUCAAAACUAUUACUGCAGUAGAAUAAACAAAAAAAUAUGUAAAACUAUUAUGUAUUCAUAAUCAUUUCUUAAAUAUUAAGAUAAACAUAAUAUAUUAUAAGAAUAACGAAACAUACACAAUGAAAACUAAUAUUACAUUAAAUUAAAGUAAGCUAAACAUUUUGAAAUAUUCGUUAACAUUAAUUAUAUAUUUACUGAACAUUUUGAAAUAUUAGUUGUUUAAAAUUUAUAUUUGCAAAAGAGGUGAAUCUAAGUUGAAAAAGGAUUUUUUUUUUUUUUUGUCAUCAAGUUGAAAAAGGAAUUAAAAAAGGAAAUAUAUUCAAAAAUAACAAAUUCAGCUUAAUGAAAAUCAAACACAAGCCUAAUUAGAAAAUGAUCCGAGAGAUCUUUGAAAAAAAGAAAAAGAAAACAUACAUAUCAUAACACAAACGGGAUUAUAAUUAAAUAAAGUGGUAAGUAAAAUCCUUAAGCUGUAAGAAUUAGGUUCCGUAAAAGGUGUUAUAAAAAGAGAGUUAGGGUCUUGUUUUUUCUUACUCAAAUACUCAUCAUCAAAGUUCUCUGAUAAUUCUAUUAAUAAUGGCGACAACCACAAGAAUGUUCUGCUUCGUGCUCGUGAUGGAUCUAAUGGGAUGUUGUUGCUCGGCAAAAAUCUACAAAGUGGGAGACUCGAAGGGAUGGACGACAGCGAAGCACGGUAGCUAUUAUGAAUGGGCCAAGCGUAAGGAAUUCCAAGUGGGGGAUUCUCUGAUGUUUGAAUACGAUGGCAACGUCAACGACGUCACUCAAGUUUCCACUCGUUUGGAAUACCAAUUCUGCAACUCCCUUUCUCCUAAAGCUGUCUACAACACAGGGCACGAUCUCGUGACUCUCACGGAACAAGGUUAUCACUUCUUCAUCACCUCAAAUCGUUCUCAAUGCGUAGCCGGACAGAAACUCGUCGUUUUUGUCGUCCAUGACCAUCCUAUGAUUCCUCCACCACCGAGAAAGAUCCUUCCAUUUGGAAAAGAUUACAAGGUCGGUGACUCCAACGAAUGGACGGUUCCUGAAGAGAGUGACUUCUAUUCCAAGUGGAGUGAGGAGAAACAGUUUCAUGUGGGAGACAAUCUUCUUUUCUACUACAACGACCAAGUCGAUGACGUCCUAGAAAUCAACAGUGAUCUUGAGUUUAAAUUUUGCGACACUACUUCUCCUGUUGCCGUGCACAAUGCGGGACAAGAUCUCAUAAGGCUAACGAAACCAGGAAUCCGCUAUUUUAUUACCUCAAAGAUUGGUCAUUGUGAGGCUGGGCUUAAGGUUCGAGUUGUGGUGCGACCACUAUCCAAAAGUGUUCCGAAGAAGAUGCAGUUGUCACCUUUCGACCGUCUCAUCAAGUGGCUACACGAUUCCUUCACACCCCACCCCCAUCACUAAGAUUUCGUUUCUUUUUUUU
rnacentral:lncRNA from 1 species